GAAGCAUUUCUCUAGGCCUGAAACC
rnacentral:siRNA from 1 species